ensembl:lncRNA SNHG12 small nucleolar RNA host gene 12
AUGCGCCCCCACGACCUGCUAAAGUAGUACUUACUUUUUAUUUUAUUUUAUUUUUUUGAGACAGAGUCUCGUUCUGUUGCCCAGGCUAGAGUGCAGUGACGCGAUCUCGGCUCUCUGCAAGCUCCGCCUCCCGGGUUCACGCCAUUCUCCUGCCUCAGCCUCCCGGGUAGCUGGGACUACAGGCGCCCGCGACCACGCCCGGCUAAUUUUUUUUUGUAUUUUUUUUUAGUAGAGACCGGGUUUCGCCGUGUUAGCCAGGAUGGUCUCGAUCUCCUGACCUCGUGAUCCACCCGCCUUGGCCUCCCAAAGUGCUGGGAUUACAGGCGUGAGUAACCGCACCCGGCAGUAGUACCUACUUUUUAAAGUGUAAGCAAGGAAAGUUGGCCCGCACCUGUAGUCCCAUCUACCUGGGAGGCUGAGGUGGAAGAAUUGCUUGAGCCCAGUUGGUCGAGGCUGCAAUGAGCCUUGAUCACGCCACUGCACUCCAGCCUGGGCAACAGAACAAGACCCUGUCUCAAACAAAAAAGUGUAUGUAAGAAUAAAAAUUAAUAGAUUAGGCACAGGAUGGGUGUUUAAUUCUCGGCAAUCACCACUAAGUUUUCAUACUGAGGCUUAUUCAUUCCAUGGGCAAAACAUUGCGCUAUGUGUGGUGCCUGGGGUGGGCUCCAAAUUCCAGUCCUCUCCUCGCUUGCGAUAGCUGUGUGAUCCAUUCCUAAGUUUCCUUAUUUGUCCACAGAGCGUACACAGGGUUUUUAUGAAAACUAGAUCAGAUAAUCAGACACAGUUAAAAUAGCACGCGCUCAGUAAAAUUACAUAUUAGUGGAAGAGACAAGCCUUGAAUAAAUCGCCUUUCGGGGAGUAUGACCCCCUCCCCGAAACCCACUCAGGCGCUGCUCGCUCGCACGCCCACUGAGCUCGGAGCGGAGCCCGAGCCCUUUCCCAGCACACAGGGUUCAUUUCCAGACUGAAAGACAUCCCAGAGACAACUCCAGAGGCCAAGGCGGGUCGGCUUCCUGCGUGGGCCCAGCGCCGGGCACUGAAAGGUGAAGGCGCUUCUUCCGCUCGGAGGAAAGCCUCUGGCGGUUCUCGCUUCGCGGGCUCGGGAUGGACACGCGCGUAGGGCUGGGGAGGUGACGCGCGGACAACGCCGGGGCGAGCAAACUACAACUCCCAGGCAGCUGUGCGCCACGCGGGCGGCCUACUGUCGGGUGUGGCCGCGAGGGGCGGCCUAUAUAAGCUCUUGCUCGCGGCUUCAGCGCCCUUUCUCCCCGCCGCAUUCCCGGUGUCGACUUACUAGCUGCAAGCCUCUGCCUGCCUUCCUGCGCGCCGUUCCCCGCUAGUCGCUGCUGCUGGCGCGCACUCGCCGGGUUUUUCCUCCCACGGCCUCGAGAUGGUGGUGAAUGUGGCACGGAGGAGCCGGGCCUUCCAACCCGGUGGGCCCGAGCUCCGAAAGGCCCCCUCGGCAGUGAGAGGGGCGGGAGCCCGCGGGGGCCGCGCCCUUCUCUCGCUUCGGACUGCGCAACGCUGCGCUCUGGGCUGACAGGUGAGUGUUGCAGGCAGGCGGCCGGGUUUACGGAAGGGGUGGGGGUUUGGGAACCGGUCUCCUGGGGGAUGCGGGGAUGAAUCCCUGGGCCUGAAGUGUCUUAAUUCAGGGGGAGGCCGCAUGCUGGUGUCAGGAUGGCCUCCAGUUGAAUCUGUGACAUUUACCAGCUAGGUGAUUUUGGGACUGGUGACUACGCGCGAGACCUCUGGAGGUCGCCCUGGUAGACACGGUUUUCAGAAGGACGGGUUUUAGGCAUUCAGACCCUUGCGUGCAUCCCAGCUUGUUGCUUUCAGCCUCGCUAAGUGACUAAGCGACCUUCAGGAAGUAACUUAAUCGGUCUAAACCUCUUACCUGUAAUAGGCGGAUAAAACGGUCCCAUCAAGACUGAGAAAAAGCACACCAGCUAUUGGCACAGCGUGGGCAGUGGGGCCUACAGGAUGACUGACUUAGUCUAC